GAUGAACGCUAGCGGCAGGCUUAACACAUGCAAGUCGAGGGGCAGCAUAGAACUAGUUUACUAGUUUUGAUGGCGACCGGCGGACGGGUGCGUAACGCGUAUAUAACCUGCCUCGAACAGGGGGAUAAUUCGGAGAAAUCUGGUCUAAUACCCCAUAACAUUAGAUAAGGCCUCUUAUUUAGUUAAAAGCUCCGGCGGUUCGAGAUGGAUAUGCGUGACAUUAGCUAGUUGGUACGGUAACGGCGUACCAAGGCAACGAUGUCUAGGGGGACUGAGAGGUUUACCCCCCACACUGGUACUGAGACACGGACCAGACUCCUACGGGAGGCAGCAGUGAGGAAUAUUGGUCAAUGGGCGCAAGCCUGAACCAGCCAUGCCGCGUGCAGGAAGACGGCUCUAUGAGUUGUAAACUGCUUUUGUACCAGGGUAAACAGGUGUACGUGUACACCCUUGAAAGUAUGGUACGAAUAAGGAUCGGCUAACUCCGUGCCAGCAGCCGCGGUAAAAC
rnacentral:rRNA from 1 species